AGCGAACGCUGGCGGCAUGCUUAACACAUGCAAGUCGCACGAAGGUUUCGGCCUUAGUGGCGGACGGGUGAGUAACGCGUAGGAAUCUAUCCAUGGGUGGGGGAUAACACUGGGAAACUGGUGCUAAUACCGCAUGAUACCUGAGGGUCAAAGGCGCAAGUCGCCUGUGGAGGAGCCUGCGUUCGAUUAGCUAGUUGGUGGGGUAAAGGCCUACCAAGGCGAUGAUCGAUAGCUGGUUUGAGAGGAUGAUCAGCCACACUGGGACUGAGACGCGGCCCAGACUCCUACGGGAGGCAGCAGUGGGGAAAAUUGGACAAUGGGGGCAACCCCGAUCCAGCAAUGCCGCGUGUGUGAAGAAGGUCUUCGGAUUGUAAAGCACUUUCGACGGGGACGAUGAUGACGGUACCCGUAGAAGAAGCCCCGGCUAACUUCGUGCCAGCCGCCGCGGUAA
rnacentral:rRNA from 1 species